UUGAAACGGAAUAAGUAUACGAUUCUAAUUAGAUUCCGUUUCAGAAUUCGGAUUGAUUUGACAGGGCACGCGAGUGGUAAACUGCAUUUAAAAUGUAUGGGGGAAAUCAGGAAAAAUUAAUUAUUUUGACGUAGGUUAUUUUUUUAUCUACUACCAGGAGAAUUUUUACCCCACUCCCUUGCAUGGUGUCGGAGAUUUUUGAAAAAAAAACUGAUUUUCCUUGUAUAAAUUUAAAUUUCUUACCACUACUCGUACAGUGCCAUCUCUUAGAAAUUUUGCCGCGGCGGGUAUCCUAUUCUCUUAACACUGCAAAUAUUAAUCAUGCAAAUAACUAUUUUAAUUAAAAACAUAUAAAAAAAAUUAAAUAAUAAAAACCUUUAGCAGGUAAAUUUCGCGCAACAUUGCCUAAACGCACCUAACAGUGUAUGUUUACAUCCAGUUGGACAUCUGUGCGCGUCGCGAAAACGUCAGCUGAUGCUCAAGUGUUUUGCUGUAGUUUGCGUAUUUCGCUGUUUGCGAAUGAAUUACGGCGCAUUUUUUUUUGAUGAUGUUUCGUAUGGAUUCGAAACGAGUGCUGUGAAACUUGUGGACCACGUAGGUUUAGGAUUGCUCGGCGUUAAACAUCUGUGUUUGUGGAUAUCUUUCAAGAAGGCAUCCGUGAUUCUUCUGAACGAUCAAGAAGAAACAGGAUAAAUUUGAGACCUAAACCCAGAUCCAGCAGACGACCCUGAUUGAUACACGGAUCAAUAAGCUUCUGUUCGGUGCGGCUAAUCCAGCCGGAUUUGGCAAGUUGGCGGUCCAGACCUUUCCGAAAUGGUCAAACCGACUUUCAGAGGGAACCUUUGUUGACGGAGCUGGAAACAGAACCGAUUUCGCGUGGAUUUUUUUUUUUUCAGAGAAAGCGAAGCAUUUCGCAGCAUGUUUUUGUUUAUAAACUCAUAGUCUAGGAUAUAACGUAUUGAAGAAUAUUACCAGCAACCUAAUGGACAAAUCAGAUAAGUUAACAUUAAAUGUAGUAAGCUAGAUACUGUGCAGUUUGUUUUCUUUUUUCAGGUUUAAACCAAGAGCAACAAGAUCACCAGGUGAACUCUCGAUAGCCCGGCGUUGCACGACUGCUUCGUUUUCCUUCAGAAGCGGCUGCUGAAGUUACGUUAAACUUGGAACCCAUCCAUCCGACCGACGAUUUCCACAGGAUGGCGGAGAUGGAGCUGAUAUUCGGUCAACUUUCUACCGCAUUGGAUGCCUCCUUGAUCUGUGAUUUUUUUUCCUCUGUAUAAUUUAAUCCUAAGACUUUUUGUGGAAUUUUUUGUGUUUUUGUGAAAUAAAAAAAUAAAUAAGCUAUUUGACCAAAGCAAAAUAAAUGUUUCUAGCUCAAAAUUCCGAAAAUCCUUGAAAAAUUGAUGUUCAUUCGAAUUGUUACAACUAUUUCCCUAAAUGUAAUGCGCCAUGAAAAAUCACUGAAAUAACUAUUUAAAACCAUAAAAAUACCAUUUGAGAAAUGGUGAAAUCCCUAAAAUAUAUACGCAAAAAUGAACUUUCAAAAAGCAUUUGACAAAGUGUCGCUAGAAGAAAAAAUCAAAUAGUGAAUAUUGCUAACAACAUAUAUGGGGAAUAGUUCACUAUUUGAGAGACAGUGAGGAAUUAAAAAAAUGAUUUACCAAAUAGUGGCUAUACAAUUUGUCAAAAUGUUGAUUGAAUAUUUAACAAAUGAUUUCCAAACGGUUUUUUUCUA